AGUGAACGCUGGCGGUAUGCCUAACACAUGCAAGUCGAACGGCAGCACAGUAAGAGCUUGCUCUUACGGGUGUCGAGUGGCGGACGGGUGAGGAAUACAUCGGAAUCUACUUUUUCGUGGGGGAUAACGUAGGGAAACUUACGCUAAUACCGCAUACGACCUACGGGUGAAAGCAGGGGAUCUUCUGACCUUGCGCGAUUGAAUGAGCCGAUGUCGGAUUAGCUAGUUGGCGGGGUAAAGGCCCACCAAGGCGACGAUCCGUAGCUGGUCUGAGAGGAUGAUCAGCCACACUGGAACUGAGACACGGUCCAGACUCCUACGGGAGGCAGCAGUGGGGAAUAUUGGACAAUGGGCGAAAGCCUGAUCCAGCCAUACCGCGUGGGUGAAGAAGGCCUUCGGGUUGUAAAGCCCUGUUGUUGGGAAAGAAAAACAGCAGGUUAAUACGCCGCUGUUCUGACGGUACCCAAAGAAUAAGCACCGGCUAACUUCGUG
rnacentral:rRNA from 1 species